rnacentral:rRNA from 1 species
CCUUCCGUAGGUGAACCUGCGGAAGGAUCAUUACCGAGUGAGGGCCCUUUGGGUCCAACCUCCCACCCGUGUUUAUUUACCUCGUUGCUUCGGCGGGCCCGCCUUAACUGGCCGCCGGGGGGCUCACGCCCCCGGGCCCGCGCCCGCCGAAGACACCCCCGAACUCUGCCUGAAGAUUGUCGUCUGAGUGAAAAUAUAAAUUAUUUAAAACUUUCAACAACGGAUCUCUUGGUUCCGGCAUCGAUGAAGAACGCAGCGAAAUGCGAUACGUAAUGUGAAUUGCAAAUUCAGUGAAUCAUCGAGUCUUUGAACGCACAUUGCGCCCCCUGGUAUUCCGGGGGGCAUGCCUGUCCGAGCGUCAUUGCUGCCCUCAAGCCCGGCUUGUGUGUUGGGCCCCGUCCUCCGAUUCCGGGGGACGGGCCCGAAAGGCAGCGGCGGCACCGCGUCCGGUCCUCGAGCGUAUGGGGCUUUGUCACCCGCUCUGUAGGCCCGGCCGGCGCUUGCCGAUCAACCCAAAUUUUUAUCCAGGUUGACCUCGGAUCAGGUAGGAUUCC